GGAUCACAUGAGAAUGAGGGUAUCAGAGCUCGAAAAGGAGUGCUCGAGCAUGAGGCAGGAGAUCGAUAAGUUGGGCCGUGGGAAAAACAGUAAGAAGUUCGGUUUCGGUUCCAAAGUGAAAUCGCAGAUGUGUAGUGCGCAAGAGAAUUCGGUGAGCGGGAAAGAGAAGGAUAUGAGUGCCAAGUUGGAGAAGAUGCAAGUGAAGCUCACUAAACAC
rnacentral:misc_RNA from 1 species